rnacentral:rRNA from 1 species
GAUGAACGCUGGCGGCGUGCUUAACACAUGCAAGUCGAGCGAGUGAGUUCUUCGGAACGAUCUAGCGGCGGACGGGUGAGUAACACGUGGGCAACCUGCCUCAUAGAGGGGAAUAGCCUCCCGAAAGGGAGAUUAAUACCGCAUAACAUCGUUGAAGGGCAUCCUUCGAUGAUCAAAGGAGCAAUCCGCUAUGAGAUGGGCCCGCGGCGCAUUAGCUAGUUGGUGAGGGAACGGCUCACCAAGGCGACGGUGCGUAGCCGACCGGAGAGGGGGAUAGGCCACAUUGGGACUGAGACACGGCCCAGACUCUUACGGGAGGCAGCAGUGGGGAAUAUUGCACAAUGGGGGAAACCCUGAUGCAGCAACGCCGCGUGAGUGAUGACGGCCUUCGGGUUGUAAAGCUCUGUCUUUGGGGACGAUAAUGACGGUACCCAAGGAGGAAGUCACGGCUAACUACGUGCCAGCAGCCGCUGUAA